GCGCUUGGAAUGCGUCCAGUCAGCGCCUAUAUUGGUCCUGUCCGGUUUCGGCCGGACUAUAGCGAUAAACGCGCUUGUAAUAAGCGGACCGGACCCGGGUGCGAUUCCCGGCGGCUCCACCAACUUUCUCCCCGCGUUAUCGGCGGAGGCAGCAUGGGGCCGACUAGCAUCGACGGACGUGUAAAGAGGAUUGCUUUCGCUCGUCCUGGCCCACCGUAUCGGGCCAUUUUCUAACUGCGAACGAUAACUUCGCUGGAGAAGUCGCUCUCGCCGCGUAAUGCGGUUCGGGUGAUUUCGAAUCUUAAGUCCUAGGGGUUCAGAUCCUUGGGCGGGGCCUGUCGGGAGCCUGGCAACAGAAUCCCGGCGCU
rnacentral:tmRNA from 1 species